rnacentral:rRNA from 1 species
GGGGAAUUUUGGACAAUGGGCGCAAGCCUGAUCCAGCCAUGCUGCGUGCAGGAAGAAGCAUCUAUGGUGUGUAAACUGCUUUUGUACGGGAAGAAACACUCCUUCGUGAAGGAGCUUGACGGUACCGUAAGAAUAAGGAUCGGCUAACUCCGUGCCAGCAGCCGCGGUAAUACGGAGGAUCCAAGCGUUAUCCGGAAUCAGUGGGUUUAAAGGGUCCGUAGGCGGUCUAAUAAGUCAGUGGUGAAAGCCCAUCGCUCACCGAUGAAACGGCCAUUGAUACUGUUAGACUUGAAUUACAAGGAAGUAACUAGAAUAUGUCGUGUGGCGUUGAAGUGCUUUGUUAUUACAUGGAAUACCAAUUGCGAAGGCAGGUUACUACUUGUGGAUUUACGCUAAUGGACGAAGGCGUGGGGAGCGAACA